UACGAAGGGGGCUAGCGUUGCUCGGAAUCACUGGGCGUAAAGCGCGUGUAGGCGGAUCUGUAAGUUGGGGGUGAAAUCCCGAGGCUCAACCUCGGAACUGCCUCCAAAACUACAAAUCUGGAGCAAGAUAGAGGCAAGUGGAAUUGCGAGUGUAGAGGUGAAAUUCGUAGAUAUUCGCAGGAACACCAGUGGCGAAGGCAGGUCUCUGGGCCUUGCCUGACGCUGAGGCGCGAAAGCUAGGGGAGCGAACAGG
rnacentral:rRNA from 1 species